rnacentral:lncRNA from 1 species
GUAAAUGGUAGAUAUGGAAUUUGACUGCUAGCCUGAAGAUUGUCUAAUGAACCAAGAAUAAUUACUUGUUUGAGAAGUCUGGAAGUAGUCUGUGAUAUGAAAUGUCACCAAACUAUGAUGCAACUCUGCAAAGAAGAAGAUACUUUAACAAUGAAUCAUUCUUGUGAGAAAAAAAAAAAAAUGGUGGUGGUAGAUUCAGUUCUAAAAUCUCACCAGAUGACACAAUCUUCUACCUCGUGAAAUACUGCAGAACUUAAAAAGAGAAAAGAAAAGAAGACCUCUUUCCUCCUACAGGGAAAGAAUGCAGAGCCUCCCAAGGGUAAGAAAUACUUUGUUUGCGUAUCUGUCAUAUACAUUCUCAGCACUUUCACCCACUUGGGUUUCCUGUCAUAAGCUUUUCUUUAGAUUGAGCAACUAAAGCUCAGAUAAAUCAGAAGAAUUGCCUCAAAGAUGCACAGAUCAUAUGUUUUAUUGUUGGACCCCAUACGAGGGACUAUCAUAGGGUUUAGUGCUGGACCCCAUACAAGGGACUAUCAUAGGGUUUGUUAUCUGUGUGAAAUGAGAGUACAUAUCUGUGUGAAUUUGAUCGGGUUACAUGCAUAGAAUCAAGUUGUGUUUACCUAUAUGCCUAUUAAACCCAUUCCAGUGUAGGUUUCAAUUGAGUAUUGAGUAGUGAAAUCUAAAGAAGAUGCAUGUGUUAUUUUCUGGUGGAAUAAUUUUAUUUUCCCUUUGUAGAUUGGCAAAAAAAAAUGAUGAGAACAGCUUAAAUUUUGUUUUGGGGAAAAUCUUUUAACAAAAAGUUGUUGUCAUGAAUUUUGUUGCUUUAUGUAUCUAUAUAUCUAUAUCUAUAUCUAUAUCUAUUACUUCUUCAAGGUCCUUUAGGGACUCAACCAUUUUUCAAUAACAGAUUUUUAGCAGUAAAGUUGCAUAUAUUCCCUAUAUCAUCCCUUCCAUGAAAGGAAGUGGAUCCUAAACAACUUGGGUUGUAGGAAUGAUAAAUCCCUAAUGUUUAUGUGACUCAGCAGGUAGGGGAUAAAGGCUUAAUUUUUGAAGGUAUAUUAAGGUAAGUAAUUAGGGAACCAUUAUGUGCUAGAACAGUAUAUCUCCAAAGACAAUCUACUUCUACUUAGCUUUACUGACCUGCCCAGUAAAUUCCACAGAAGCUGAUGGCGUAAUCCAAAUCCAGCCUAUUCCAAGAAACACAUUUAGAUAUAAUUUUAGUUAGAGUCAUUGUUGAGUUUGAAAGAGAUGAACACAUUUCCCUUCAUCUUGAAAUGUUCCCUUUUGGAAAAUCUAAUUCUCCCCAAGAAAAUGAUUGGAUACCUAAAUCAUCUUUGAAAAGUAAAAUCUUUCCCUAGAUCUUAUCUCAUCUUUUAAAGCUCAUGUGUUUGUCUCUGACAAUGCUAUAAAUGCAUUUUCAAGAGAGGAAUUUGUCCUACUCUUUAAAUUACUUUUAUGAAUAGUCAAAGUGAUUUUCCUUUAGUGUUCAAACUUCCUGCAGAUGAUUAGUCCACACUUCCAGAAACCAAAAUAUAUAAAGACUUCUUCCUAAAUUAGUCAUAUAACUUUAUAUUGGGCAAUAAGUGAAUACUGUGCAAUUUUGCUUUGUCAGUAAUCUGACAAAUACUGAAAAAUACUGAUGUAUAUCAAGAUUCAACUUCUGAGUGCCCAGUGGCUUUCUAAACUGAUCAGUUAAAAAGUUUUGUCAGACGCCUGUAGUCCCAGCCACUCUGGAGGCUGAGGCAGGAGAAGGGAGUGAACCCGGGAGGCGGAGCUUGCAAUGAGCUGAGAUGGCGCCACUGCACUCCAGCCUGGGCCACAGAGGGAGACUCCGUCUCAAAAAUAAAAAAAUUAAAAAAAAUUUUUAAAAAAGUUUUGUCAUCCAAUGACAACAAGUUUAAAAAUAUUUUAAGAGAAGUAUGAAUAAGUAAAUACUGUAUCAGAUUGAUUAUAAAUUAUAGAAAAGUUAAAAUAGGUCAGAUUUUUCAUUCUUCGUUUUCAUAGUUUGAGAUUCUUAGAUUAUUAAAAUAGAAAGGAACUGGUUUUCUAAAGGAACUGGAUUCAAAGUCACUUCUAUCUUAUGAACCCAUUGUAUACAUGACAUCUGAUGAAGAAGACCAAUAUGAAAAGCAGGGGAGAGUCUCUGGUUGAAUCAGAAAGCUCCUGGCCACCACAAAACUUGUAACUUGCUCCUUGUCCUGGUGGCUCAAGAAGUUUGUGAGGUAUAGUUUGAAAACUACUGAUCUAGUCAAACAGUACUUUAUAGAGGGAUAAAAAAAAAAUUCUGGAGAUGUGGCAUGAACUGAAUUAUUUACGAUCACACAUAGAAGUGAAGGCAAAAUUUAAAAUGGAAAUCAGCACACCUUUAAAACAGCCUUCUCCAUGGAAACAUCCCUGAGAAAUUUUCACCCUUACUGAUCAUUUUGUCUUCCCAUCUUCUCAGCAAACACAUCAUUUAUUGGCUAUGUCCACAGUAACAAUGUAAUUUGUGAAAUGUUUCAGGUCAGUGAAGUAAUCUGGGAGAAUUGAAAAUGCUUUGAGGGUAGAACUACAUAGCACAGCUUUUUGAGUCCCAUAGAGUGCUUUUGGUCUAUAUAAACAAACAAUGGAUAAAAGGAAGAUAAGACCAACAAUACAGUAUUAUACAGUAUUGCUUUGGAGGCAAUAUAUAGCACAGAACACUUUUAUACAGAACGUGACAAGUGUUUCAAAGGAAAGGAUUUCAUGCAAAAGUAAACUUGAUAAAGUCUGCACUAAACAAAGUUAAACAGUAAUGAUUGCCUCCUCUGAGUUUUGAAUAUGCUAAUGUAUAUUAAGAAUCUGCAAUAAUGGGAAUUUUUCGAAUUUUCCAUAGAGCCUUAAAAAUAUGAUAGAUAUUGCAUGCCUCAAGUUCAUGGUCUGCAGAAUAUAUUUAGUAAAAUUUAAGAAAGGAACAAGACUAGAAGUCAGAAGUUUGAUGUUUUGAACUCAAACCCUGUGCCACAAAAACUUUGGAAAGCAACUUCUCUGAUCAUCAGUCUCUUCAUCCAUAAAAUAGCAUUGCCUAUCUGAGAGUUAAAUAUCAAAGAAGAUUAAUAUAAAAGGCUUUGCAAAAAGUUAAGCUCCACUGAAACAUAAAGCAUGUUUAUUGUGUUGUAAGUUUACAAAUAUAACUUUACUGAUUGACUUGAAUAGAGGCACAAACAGCAUCCCUUCAACAACAUUUUCAGAAUAAAACAAUGAUAUUUCUAGACAAUAGUGUCUCAAAUAAAAAACCAAAGUUUUAUUCAAAUAACUUGCAAUUAUGAUAGAUAUUUUUCAAUUUUAUUUAGUAGCCAGGAAUUUGAAUGUUAAUUACUUUAUCGUGAACUUAUUUCUUCCAUGAAGAAGCUAAUUGAAAAAUUACCAAAUUCUGUAUUUUUGUAAACAUAACAAAAAGAUACAUUGAGUAAAUAUUUUAAAUCUACUCAAGUUACUUGAAGAUUUUUCUUUAUGAGAGGUUACAAAAAUUAAACAAAUUCACAUUUCUAACAAAGAACAACAUAUUCUCUCUACAAAUAUAUACAUUGUAUAAUGUAAUACUAAGUCUAAAAAGAUUUGCAAGGCAUGGUGGCUCACACCUGUAAUCCCAGCACUUUGGGAGGGCAAGGUAGGAGGAUUGCUUGAGGCCAGGAGUUCAAGACCAGCCUGGGAAACACAACGAGACCCUGUAUCUGCCAAAAAAAAAAAAAAAAUUGACCAGCCAUAAUGGCAAUGGCCUGGGGUUCCAGCUACUCAGGAGGCUGAGGUGGGAGGAUUGCUUGAACCCCAGAGUUUGAGGCUGCAGUGAGCUAUGAUCACGCCACUGCACUCCAGCGUGGAAAAAACAGUAAGACCCUGUCUCA